rnacentral:lncRNA from 12 species
GUAAUGCAGCCUACAGAGACUUUCACUUAACCAAAUAUUAAUGCAAUUUAUUUGGCUAAUUCUACUUGUUUGAAAGGGAAAAGUCCGUGUAGACUCACAAUUGAAGAUGAACACUAGAAUUUGUUCAGGAAUAAAAACAACAACAAUAAUAAUAGCAACAGCCAUUUAUCUAGUCCCAACUAGGUGCCAGGCCCUGGGCUCAAAGUUUCAAGUGCAAAAUCUGAUUUAGUAAAGACAACCCUGUUACGUGUAGAUAUUGUGGUCAAGGGGUACCUGGGUGGCUCAGCUGGUUAAGCACCUGCCUUUGGCUCAGGUCAUGAUCUCAGAGUCCUGGGAUCAAGUCCUGGGUCCAGAUCUCUGCUCAGCAGGGAUUCUGCUUCUCCCUCUCCUUCACCCUCUCCACCCUGCUUGUUCUCUCUCUCUCUCUUUCUCCCAAAUAAAUAAGUAAUCUUUAGAAAAAAUUUAAAGAAACUGAUCAAUUGGAUUAUCGUCACUCUCUCCCUUUUCCAUGUCACUCUCAAUACUCCCCACUAUAGUAGACAGAAUAUAUGCUUCUGCCUAUUUGAAGUAGGUUUGGCCAGGUGACUUGCUUUGCUACCAGGUAUGAUGCCAUGAGAGGCUUUUGUUGGGCUUGCAUUGUUCACCUUGGGCUCUUCUUCUGCUUUCUUCCAGGAGAACAUGUCCUAGGUAGUGGCCAGUGCCAGAAUGAUGUAGGCACAAGGAGUAGAUCUGAACCCAACUGGCCUCCCAUCUGGGUGAACAGCAACCAACCCACAGGCCCAUGGACAAGAAAAAUCAAUGUUUUCUACUAUUUAUAACAUCACAGCUUUGCAGCCAAAAGAUGCAAGCUGCAAUGCAACAUGGGAAGAUGGCUGACAGUUCAAAUACAGUCACUGUAAUUCUACAGAGACCUUAUUAUUUAGUUCUCUAAUGAGGAUACCACGAAACAACCACCACUGCCACCACCACUAACACACACGCACAUGCAAAACCCAGAAAAUUCCAUUUGGAAAGAUUGCUGUGUUGUUCAUUUCUAAAACGAGGUCAGGUAUAAAAGGUUUGAGGUGGGAUUGCUUUUUUAAUUGAGAAUGGUUCCAUUAAAUUGUAGAAUUCUCCCAUGUGCCUUUGUCAGGGGGAGACUAAUGGCAUCAGGAGUUUGCCCCUAAACCCAGGAUACAACAGUCCACGAGUUAGUUAACUGAACAUUGGAACUUAUACGGACUCCAAAUGUAGUUUUUAAACACCUAGGAGAUCUCUAGUUACUAUAAGUGGUAUCACAACAGUUCCAAAUGUAUUUAAAUCCAUUUUAAUGUUUCUAGAAGGUGACAUAGCAAGGUGGUGUGCCUGUGUAUUUGGGAAGGAAAAGAAAGGGAAAGUCACUCAUAAACACAAGCUGUGUCUUGGAAUGUGGGCAGGUCUGAGGAAGGUCCAGAUUUUCUGAACUGGCACCCAAAGUGCAUGGCCCCCACCAGGGUGGUGUGGGACACCUGAGCUACCAACAUAUUUUCCCCUAUCCCUCAAAGCAGCUACAGCCCCAACCAUGAGACCAUCCUCAUCAGCUUACCUAGAUGGGAAGAUAGUAGGAUAGUAAAAUUUCCCUAAUUGGUGUUCAUCAGAUGAUCUGUUGUGAUGGUUAAUUUCAUGUGUGAACUUGACUGGCUACAGAGUGUCCAGACUAGACAUUAUUUUGGGGUGUGUCUGCAAGGGUGUUUCCAGAUGAGAUGAGCAUUUGAAUUAGCCAACUCAAUAAAAUCCGAUGUGAGUGGGCA